GACGAACGCUGGCGGCGUGCUUAACACAUGCAAGUCGAACGGAAAGGCCUGGCUUUUGGGGGUCUCCCGGUGGCGGACGGGGGGUUAAAAACAGGGUGAACACCCCCUUACUUUGGGGUGACCUCUUGGAAACGGGGGCUCUAACGGAUGAGAAUUUCUUGCGCCUUGUGGGGGGUUGGAAAGUUUCGGCGGUGGGGGUUGGACUCGCGGCUUAUCCGCUGUUGGGGGGGGUAGGGGUUGACAACGGCUUUGACGGGUAGCCGGCCUGGGAGGGUGACCGGCCACAUUGGGACUGAGAUACGGCCCAGACUCCUACGGGAGGCAGCAGUGGGGAAUAUUGCACAAUAGGCGGAAGCCUGAUGCAGCAACGCCGCGUGCGGGAUGACGGCCUUCGGGUUGUAAACCGCUUUCGCAUGUGACGAAGCGUGAGUGACGGUAAUGGGUAAAGAAGCACCGGCUAACUACGUG
rnacentral:rRNA from 1 species